UGCUCUCCCCCCGUUCCCGGCGUGCUCCGGGGUGGGGGUGGCCUCUCUAGCCGCCGUCGCGGGCGGGCGGGUUUGUUGUUGUGGGGCCGCCUCCUGGGGGCUGUGACAGGGCCCGCGGUGGGGAAGGAGCUGGGGCUUUAAGGAAAACAAUAAUUAUCAUGAGACUCAUGACAAAAUCCUGAGAGUUGGCAACACUGCUGAGUGGAUGUGCACGGAGGAGAUGCCCUUGUUGGCAGCUCACUGCUGGAGAAACGCCUGGUUAUGGAAGGGCAAUGUGUUGGGCACUAGAUCUUGUCUAUAUUAUAAAAUUGGAUAGUCAAUUAUCUUUUUGUCAAAGUCCAGACUCCAGAAAAAAUAAUAAUAAAACAGUUGUCCUCAUGAAUACUCUUGUGGAGGAUGUCCAUGAUCCUCUUUGCUUGUGUGGUGAGAGUGAGGGACGGACUUCCACUUUCAGCCUCCACGGAUUUUCAUCUCAACCAGGACUUUCUGGAAUGCAGGAAGAGACUAAAGGCAUUAUCCUUAAUUCUGGCACAAUAUCCUGAUCGAGGCACAGCAACAGGACGUGGCUUCAGCAUACAUUUUCAUUCUUCUGGGGACAUCGCCUGCAUGGGGAUCUGCACCAGCUGUUGCCCAACAGUCAUGGCAUUUUGUUUCCUGGAGGAGCUCCAGUGGAAAUUUUCUGCUUCAUAUAACUCUACGAGCAUAAGCUUGGCUACCAGACCCUAUGCUUUUCUUGAAUUUGAUAAUAUUAUUCAGAAAGUGAAAUACCAUUUCAACUACACAAGCUGCUCUCAAAUGAAGAACCGCCUGGAGAAAAUUCAGGAAGCGCUGAAGUUCCAUCCUCCUGUGCUUCUGAAACUAGAGGAUAUGAAUGGGAUGAUUAAUGGGCACACAGAAGUGCACAUGGGGUCUGCCCCUACCUAUAGAAUGCAACCUGUGACUCCUUUGGGGAUUCUGUCUCUUGUUCUCAACAUCAUGUGUGGGGCUUUGAACCUCAUUCGAGGAGUUCAUCUAGCAGAGUAUUCUUUUCAGGAAGACCACGAGGGAACUGGAAAUGUAAUAGCAUUUCUUCUUUCUUUUCUAGCCUGCAUUUUUCAGUGUUAUUUGUACUUGUUCCAUGGUUCAUCAAGGAAGAUGAAGGCAUUUGUACUGUUUUUCUCCAUUUGUCUAUGCAACAUUUACUUGUAUGGAUUAAGAAACAUCUGGCAAAUAUUCUUUCACAUAGGAGUGGCUUCUCUUUCUUCAUAUCAGAUACUGACAAGGCAACCGAUGGAGAAACAGCCUGAUAUUGGAGUAUGAAAACACACAUGGGAUUCAUCACUCGUAUUUUAAAAAACUUUUAUUUCCUUACACUAGCCAAAAAUACUUUGGGGUAUAUUUUAAAACUGUACAACGAUGGUUAUCACCAAGGAGAGAUUUUGAAACUAAACAACUCGAAAUAAACUGUGCUCUUCUAAUUAGUGUCAAAUGGAUAUUCAGGGGAUUAGUUGUACUUCAACUGUGCAUUGCAGACUGUUUGCAAGCAUUCAUAAUGGAGGUUCUCACUGCCAUUGAGAAUCUUCAGUACUCAGUCUUUUCAUGUACUCCUUGAUUAAUACCAAACAGUCAGUCUCUCUUCAUUUCUCAUUUGCUUUGCAACAGUUCACUGUUUCAGUGUGUUGCCCUGGGAGUUUGACAGAAAACAUUGAAAUUGUACUUUAAAACCAAGACUGAUUAAAAUUGUGGAUAAUAGCGCUUAGCACUUUCAUCUAUAGAUCCUAAGUUGCUUGACAGAUGUAAGCUAAGGAGGCGUUUGCCAUAAUUAAUCAGUAAUUGGUGGAAAAAUGCUUUUAGUGGGAUUUUCAGAGUAAUCCUACUAAGGUGAAAUAGAAUGAUAGGGGUCUGAAGAAAAGGGCAGGGGCCCUUUUAAAAACCAUAAAGGAUGUAAAAUGUCUCUUGAGUAAACUGUACAUCUUAAUGGUUGGUAUGGUGUGAGCUUAUUGGGAAAUUGUCAGUAAGUUUUUGAAGCUGCAUAAACCAAACCAAAAAAACACACAACUGACCUUUCAGCCCAAGUGGCCUUUAUUUCCCUGUUGAAGAUCACAUUUUUUGAAAGGGUAAUUAUAUGUUUGUUUGGUUUAUACAGAUAAAUAAGUUUGGAAGAUUGUAUUUUGUGAUAACCCAAUGAGUUUUUCCACCUUUCAAAAGAUACAUUAUUAGCGAUUAGAAAUCCAUUCCCCAUCCUGGAAAGCAGGAGUAGGUUCUCUUUAUUUUAUAUUUAAGCUCUCAUGCUAAGGUUAACUUAUGAGCAUGCACUUUUGAAUAUAGUCAUUAGGAGCUGAAUUUCUCCACCUCUGCUGCAGUGUAUAUUCUGGUAUUUAACGUGCUGAAGUAUACACUGACAUUUUAAAAUGUAUCUGAACACUUUUUUGAUAAGUUUUCUCUGUAUAAAGAAUGUCUAAUGUUUUGACACAGCUGUCUUUUGGAGGGUUGGUUAGAGAAUCAUGAAACUGAGAAAUUACAGGAAGCUUGUAGUUGUAAUACUGUAGAGGUAACCUCUUAAUUUUUUCUCACUUAACAGUUAUAUGGUAGCCCCAUGUAUUAUGUAGAAUUUCAUCCCCUUGCUGAGGAAUUGUUCUUUCACUUAAUGUCUCUACCUUUCAUAUUUGCAAAGAGAUUAAAUUGAUGGAGAGUUACCUUCCUGACUCUGUAGGUAGCUUGUUAGUCAAUAUUAUCUAUUUCACUACUGACUAUUAUAGCAGAAACAUCCAGCUAAUAUUUUAAACCAGACCCACCCAUUGUGUGCUAAAAGCCCUAACAACUGAUUAUCCAGCUGCCGAAACCUCCAGCUUCCUCUGACAACUUGUGCAAUGCAACUCUGUGCAGCCAAUGCAUACAUCUGUGCAUAAAGAUUUAAGUGACUGGAUAUUGCAUUUAUGUCUGCUGUUCUAAUAGUACAGCCUUUACUGUACCUAGUCCCAUGCACUGCUACAGUGAAAUAGAAGUAUCGGGGGUAGCUGUGUUAGUCUGUAUCCACAAAAACAAGUGGUACCUUAAAGACGAACAGAUUUAUUUGCCACCGGACUCCUUGUUGUUUUAGUGAAAUAGAAGAAUCUUUUGCUAUGCUUUUGGGACAUGGAAAGGCACUGUGUAGGAAAGGAAAGUGAGCUGAAAUUACAAGAGUAAAUAAACUGUAAAAAGGGAAAAAUAUAUCAGAAGGAAAGGGAUAAAAUGAAACAUCAGAAACAGUGGUGGGGAGAAACCUAGAGACCAGUGGAAACUUUAGCUUGAUAGGAGACAGUAAAUUGGAUGUGAAAUUGCAAGAUGAUUGCUAUGGUUGUAGCCUGCAUGGAGUGAGGCAUGUCUGAGAGCAGGGAAGGAUCAUAAUCCUUUAUGCAGCUCGGAUGCAAGCACUCCUAGAAUUAUUUCAUGCAGUUCCAGGUAUCGGUACCAAAGACAGACAUGCUGAAGGGUGUCCACAGAAGACUGUCCAGGUACUGAUAUUUGAAGAGAAGAGAGAGUCACUGCUUAGCAUAGAAACUAAAGGGGUCAACUUUUCUUGAUGUUUGUCCUUCAGAUAUCGGGUCAGAUGAGAAAGAAGUUAGGGCACAAGGAGGCACAACUAAGCCUAAGAAUGAAACUGAAAAGGAACAUUUCGGUUGACUGUCAGGGAAAACUGCUUGAUACUAAGGGCUUGUCUGCACUACCGCAUGGGGUUGAUCCAAGAUACACAACUUCAGCUACAUGAAUAGCGUAGCUGAAGUAGACUUACUUAGAUCUACUUACCACGGUGUCUUCACUGCAGUAAGUCGACAGCUGACGCUCUCCCGUCAAUUCUGCUUGCGCUCCUCGUUCUGGUGAAGUACCGGAGUCAACAGGAGAGCGCUCAACGGUCAAUUUAUCGCAUCUAUACUAGACCGAUAAAUCAACCCCCGCUGGAUCGAUCGCUGCCCACCGAUCCAGUGGAUAGUGUAGACAAGCCCUAAGAUCUAUUAAACUGUGUGGAAUAGGCUAAGGUAGCUGUUCCCAGACUUCAUGAUUAACAUAACACUUGCUUAAAAAUUUGAUGUUUGAAGUACCACUUGCAAAUUUUUCCUUUUUUAUUUUAGGACUUAACUGGUUUUUAAUAUUUCUGAACUCGUAGUAAAAUAAAUGCGUAAGGAAACCAGAAAUUAUAACCUCCUUUUUUAAACAUUUCAAGUUCUUUAUCAGUGUAUCAAAAAGCACAAUGAAAAAGCAAUUGUUGAUCUGUUUUGUAUUACUCAAAUUACAAGGAACAAUUAAAUGUCAAGUGACAGGUUGACGUAUCUCUAUAUGCUGCUAAGCUAUGUCAAGGCCUUGACUUUUUAAUAUAUCAAUUCAAAGUUCCUCCUCAUUCUUAUCUGGACUAUUGAAGAACAUGGGCCAAAGUUCUUUACUUACAUUUUGACAAUAUUUAAAUUAAGUGCCAAUCAAAAUGUUUUGCAUUUUCUCUGAUAAAAAUAUAAAAGUACCAUUAAUGAGAAGGGUGUUCUUGCUUCACAUAUCAGGGUUGCUUUGUGUCAGGUAAGAUUUUGCUGAGCUUCAGCUGAAGGUCUGGUCCUGCAGACCUAAGUUUCAUCUUGUAUUUUUUUUUUUUUUUAAUACUGAUCAGGGCAGAAAUCCAGUUCUGUCAGGGAAACCUUUCUUAACAUUCAGCCUAGUAGCACUUGUAACAUGUUCUAUCCAUAUGAAUGGAGGUCUCCUUAGAAAAUAAGGCAUGAAGAUGAUUAAGAGUAAACUUUUUUUUUUAAUAAUCCAUUUUCUAAAUUUCCAUACUAGGGUCUGCCUUGCUGAUGUUACAGGACAUGGUGCUCAUACCUCUGGCUAGUCUUAACCAGGUGACAAUGCAUUGACUUAAAUAGGGAAAGCUGUUUCUGCUAGGAAAAGGGGUAGGAGAUUUACUUUGUACAUGGACAAAACAUUGUGGGGAAUAACCUUAAUGACGGGAUCUGAUUUCUACAUCUCCCGUGGACCCUGAUCCUGGUAGUGUUGACUUGUCUCCACUAAAUGUAUUUGAGUAAAGCUAGUCUUGCAUAGACUUGGGCACCUAGAACACUUAGGUAUGUCAACACUACUGUCUGGAGAUGUGAAUUCCAGCUCAAAGAGAACAUACCUGCACUAGUUUUCAUUCAGCUGGCGUGCGUAGCCAUGGUGUUACAAGUGGUGGGAGGGCCAACUGCCUUGAGUACAUAUGGUCCAAAAUGCUAGGUUUAAGCAUAAUGAAAUGAAUCGCUGGAUUUGCCUACUGGAAGGAUCAUCCAACCCAAGAAUCUUUAGGAAAACAAUACAGCAAAAUCUCUAAAUACAACGUUCUGCUUUCCCAGUGGACCCUAUGUCUGAUGAAUGGACAAACACCUAGUAGCAAUUUGUUACAAAGGAAGUAGAAGUGGCAGGGAACCAUUCACAGGGAGAUUUGGUUCUAUAAUGUGGACAAGCCUGCCUACAAAAUCCAUGUUGGGGAACAUACAUUUAGCAAUGUGUGUCCAUUAAUAGCUGAACACUUCUUCCAGCUUUGGUUGUGAUUCAGGGACCAAGGAGAAGUCAAGUUAAGCAUUGACUGUCCUAAUUUUUUUUUCUGUAAAUGUUUACACUGGCUUCGUGGUAUGUUAAUUCUGUGCACUGUGUGUGUAUAAUAUAUGUUUAAACUUUCUUUUGCUAAAACAGGAAAAGAGAUAACAUGGUUUACAUUUGAGUCCUUCAAGAUUUAAUAAAAUGAGCGUUUUACUGUUUGAGAACAGAAAAUCUGGAUCAGAAUACUAGGAUUGUGCUUGUAUUGAAUCAAAUCUUUAAAAGGAAUCAAAUUUUUGUCAGAACCGUGGACCAUUUGAAAUAAUUUGAUUAUUUAUCCACUUAAUUCUCAUUUUCAAUUUUCACAUUUAAGUCUCUUGGAAACUCUGUUGUUCAUCGAGAAACACAACACAAGAAAAUAGGCCAAGAGUAAACCUUCCUUCCAGUUAAAAUAUUUAGAAUGCUUUGCCAACUUAUGAAAUAUUGAUCCUGCCUUUUUUAACCAAAGAUCAGUUAAGGUUUCUUGAAAGGCUGGCUGGUACCUUUUU